AGCGGUAUAGUGUAAUAGGUAGCACGAAAGGCUCAUAACCUUUUAGUUCGGGUUCGAUUCCCGAUACCGCAA
rnacentral:tRNA from 1 species